GACGGAGGGUGCUAGCGUUGUUCGGAAUUACUGGGCGUAAAGGGCGCGUAGGCGGCCUGGUCAGUCGGAUGUGAAAGCCCGGGGCUCAACCCCGGAACGGCAUCCGAGACGGCCAGGCUGGAGACCGGGAGAGGAGAGUGGAAUAGCCAGUGUAGAGGUGAAAUUCGUAGAUAUUGGCUGGAACACCGGUGGCGAAAGCGGCUCUCUGGCCCGAUUCUGACGCUGAGGCGCGAAAGCGUGGGGAGCAAACAGG
rnacentral:rRNA from 1 species